AGACCAUCAACAGCUAUUUAGACUCUCAAAAUCGAGCACCGGAGAGCUGCCGGGAAGCACAUUUCUUAAGAGAGUUAACAGAACAUCUCCGGAGAAGUGGGCAAGGCAGGCGUAGGCGGAACACAAACACACACAGACAUUCCCGAUUCCUGCCCCAGGAGGGAUGCCGCCAGCCUAGGUGAUACGUCUGCAGUGUCUCACCCUGUGAGGUCUUCCCAUUUCUCCUUCGUGACGUCCAGUUAUAGGGAGCUGCUAUGAUCGUUCAUCAGCUGCCCCAGGUACUGUUUAUGAAAUUGUUUUCUUUAAAUUUGCUCACUUGAUUUUACUUAUGCUUUUGAAAUAAAACCUAAUCCCCAUGAUGUA
rnacentral:lncRNA from 1 species